AGACUUAUUGAGAACUGAAACCUGAGAGGAAGGGUCUGUGCCUGGGUGGAACAGCCAACAAAAAUCAAUCUCUGAAGGUGGUUUUGUUCCAUUUUCAUCAAUUUCUUGAGGUCCUUUGAUAUCACAAGGGUCAAUGAUACACUGAAUACUACUGGAUGACUGAUUUCCUGCGCAAUUAAGAAUGUAAAGUCUUAGGAGAAACAAUUUAAUCUUAUGUAGUGCCUCUUGACAGCACAUAAAUUCAACAAAGAAAGGUUAUUUGACUGCGAAACCACCGAUUUUUUUGGCAGAAAAAAAACAUUUUUUUUUGCAAUUUAUUAUACGACAAACCAUAACUAUUCCUAACGCAAAAAUA